rnacentral:rRNA from 1 species
CACGUAAAGAACCUGCCCAUAGGUCUGGGAUAACCACGAGAAAUCGGGGCUAAUACCGGAUGUGUCAUCGGACCGCAUGGUCCGCUGAUGAAAGGCGCUCCGGCGUCGCCCAUGGAUGGCUUUGCGGUGCAUUAGCUAGUUGGUGGGGUAACGGCCCACCAAGGCGACGAUGCAUAGCCGACCUGAGAGGGUGAUCGGCCACACGUGGGACUGAGACACGGCCCAGACUCCGUACGGGAGGCAGCAGUAGGGAAUCUUCCACAAUGGACGAAAGUCUGAUGGAGCAACGCCGCGUGAACG